GGAUCACAGCGAGCAACUUUGGUUUGGUUUUGUCUGCAGUCAGAAGACAGUCUUUCCCACCUUCAUUGUUCAAGACACUGCUGGGAGAAUACAACCCCAAACAAGGAGCUCGUGCAUGUGAUUGGGGAAUCGUGCACGAGAAAGAGGCCAAAAAGAAGUUCAUGGAACAAAGUGGGGAGACCAUCCUGGAGAAGGGACUGUUCCUGUCUGACAGUGGGCUGCUUGGGGCCUCCCCAGAUGGACUUCUACUGUCCAGCAAUUACCUUGUGGAGGUGAAAUGCCCAUAUUCUGCCAGAGAGAAAACAAUCGCUCAGGCAGCAGAGGCAAAGGACUUUUACCUGUACGUGGACCAAGUCACCGGGCUAUUUAGGUUGAAGAACACCCACAACUACUGGCAUCAGAUUCAGGGCAACCUGCACCUGACAGAGGCUACCACCUGUCAUCUAGUUGUAUGGACAACUCAGGACAUGGCCAUUGUAGAGAUUAAAAAAGACCCAGCCUGGGUCAGCAAUCUUAAGGUCCUGGAAAAUUUUUACAAGGACCAUUUUCUGCCCCGUGCUCUCUUCAAUAACAAAUAAAUGUUAACUUAUUGAACUUA